AGCGGUCAAGUUUUUUGUGGAAAUGGGAUACAACAUUCUUCAGUGUAAAUGAGUUGACAAGUGGCAUGGAAGA
ensembl:ncRNA C46G7.107 ncRNA